rnacentral:rRNA from 1 species
AUGUACAUGCCUACAAUAGCAUUAAUUCAUUUGAUCCCAUCAUAACUCUGUAGUUAAGAGUUCUUAGGCUAGAGUAGUACUGGGAUGGGAUGGGUGGCUGCUUGAGAAGUCCUAGUGUUUUACAUG